rnacentral:rRNA from 1 species
UACGAGAGGCCCAAACGUUAUUCGGAUUUACUGGGCUUAAAGAGUUCGUAGGCGGCAUGAAAAGCAGGGUGUGAAAGCCCUCGGCUCAACCGAGGAAUUGCGCUCUGAACUGUCGUGCUAGAGGAAUCUAGAGGUGAGCGGAACUGAUGGUGGAGCGGUGAAAUGCGUUGAUAUCAUCAGGAACACCGGUGGCGAAGGCGGCAUCCUGGACCGGUAUUGACGCUGAGGCGCGAAAGCUAGGGGAGCAAACAGG